GGAAUUCCUGUGGCUUUAAUACUGGGAUUUGCACUACAUUUAGGAGGAAUGGGUCUCUGGAGUGGACUGGUCGCUGGAGCCACGGUGCAAAGUCUUCUCUUGUCCAUCAUCACAGGCCUGACAAACUGGGAAAAUCAGGUGAUUGAAGCUAGACGCAGAAUAUAUGAAGGGGAAGAAAAAAAGGCCACUUCAGUGUGAGUCAAUUGGAUG